UGACCCAUCUGGUAUACAUGUGACCCCUGCAGGCCAGGUGCUGGUCUGUGGAUGGAAGUCCGACACUGUACUACAGGUGGGCUGGGAGGGAAAGAGUAAGCUGGCUACGCUGGCUACUAAGGAGGAUGGAGUGUGGAACCCACAGUCAGUCUGCUACAGCAGCACAACAUCAUCAAUCAUUGUGGGACAAUAUGGGGACAACAUCCUGGUGUUCAGAGUGGAAUAGUGUGUACAUUUGCUGCUGAGUCAGGACAACGAUGCUGAGGAUGUGGUGGACAAGAAUGACCUGAAUAUGCAGAAGGACAGCACCACCAUUGUUAUCGAGUUGGCCCAGCAACAGCACCAGUCCGGCCUGCAGGAGCCCCAGUCCAGGACGACCCAUCCACUCCCCUGACCCAUAACUCAUCAUACUUGAUAUCCGGAAAAAUGGGGCCUUAUGCAUGUGCUUAAAUUGUUGUCACAGAUAAGCCUAUGCAGUUUGCACAGGCUAAUAAUGGACAACAUUUUCCUCUUAAAGCAGAGCACCAGCAUUGAUAUCGAGUUGGCCCAGCAACCGCACCAGUCCCGCCUGCAGAAGCCCCAGUCCAGAAUGACCCUCCCCCUCCAUUGACUUCUAACUCCUCCCCCUUGACCUCCUGCCUCAAAAAGUCAGCAUCGUUGAACAACUCUGUUCUGCAGGAAAUUCUGAGCAUGAUUCUGUUCUGACAAAACGCAAUGCCCACAUCACGUUUUCCAAACAAAAGCCUGGGUAGUUUAGUUAAGCUAGAGUUCCGCGUGGGCAUGAAAGGGACGAGUGUUACAGACAUGAAAAGUUAUAGCAGUAGUUAUGGUAACGCUAACAGUCAGUUGUUGCUGUUGGACAUCACAACAAAUAUCAUGAAGAAUAAAAAGUUCAAUCACUUGUUCGAAUCUUUAUGGGACAAACAGAAAUUGAACAGGAGAGAAUCAAGGAACAAUAAAAGCGUAAGCUUUCCUAGUGGUAUACGUCUGCUGUUGAUAGUUUGGACAACAGAAGGGUUACGGACUGCCCCAGAUUGUCCUCUCAGCGGCCAAAGUAUCAUAAUAGAACAGACUUUUAGCAAUGUUACUGACAAAAAAAGGCAAAAAUGACUUGGUUGUGAACACCCAGAGCGCGAUACAUCCAUUCUGACACAGAAAGGCGGUAAUAACUUGGUUGUGAACACCCAGAGCACAAUACAUCCAUGCUGACACAGAAAGGAAGUAAUGACUUGGUUGUGAACACACAGAGCACAAUACAUCCAUGCUGACACAGAAAAUAAGUAAUGACUUGGUUGUGAACACCCAGAGCAAGAUAUAUCCAUGCUGACACAGAAAGGCAGUAAUGACUAUGCUGUGAACACCCAGAGCACAAUACACCCAUGCUGACACAGAAAGGCAGUAAUGACUUGGUUGGGAACACCCAGAGCACAAUACAUCCAUGCUGACACAGAAAAUAAGUAAUGACUUGGCUGUGAACACAGAACACAAUACACCCAUGCUGACACAGAAAGGCAGUAAUGAGUUGGCUGUGAACAAAGAGCACAACACAUCCAUGCUGAAACAGAAAGGCAGUCAUGACUAUGCUGUGAACACCCAGAGCACGAUAUAUCCAUGCUGACACAGAAAGGCAGUAAUGACUAUGCUGUGAACACCCAGAGCAAGAUAUAUCCAUGCUGACACAGAAAGGCAGUAAUGACUAUGCAGUGAACACCCAGAGCAAGAUAUAUCUAUGCGGACACAGAAAGGCAAUAAUGACUAUGCUGUGAACACCCAAAACACAAUACAUCCAUGCUGACACAGAAAGGCAGUAAUGACUUGGUUGUGAACACGAGGAGCAAGAUAUAUCCAUGCUGACACAGAAAGGCAGUAAUGACUUGGCUGUAAACACAGAGCACAAUACAUCCAUGCUGACACAGAAAGGCAGUUAUGACUUGGUUGUGAACACAGAGCACAAUACAUCCUUGUUGACACAGAAAGGCAGUAAUGACCUUGCUGUGAACUCAGAGCACGAUACAUCCAUGCUGACACAGAAAGGCAGUAAAGACUUGGAUGUAAACACCCAGAGCACAAUACAUCCAUGAUUACACAGAAAGGCAGUAAUGACUGUAAACACAGAGCACAAUACAUCCAUGCUGACACAGAAAGACAGUUAUGACUUGGUUGUGAACACAGAGUACAAUACAUCCUUGUUGACACAGAAAGGCAGUAGUGACUUUGCUGUGAACUCAGAGCACGAUACAUCCAUGCUGACACAGAAAAGCAGUAAUGACUUAGAUGUAAGCACCCAGAGCACAAUACAUCCAUGCUGACACAGAAAGGCAGUAAUGACUUGGUUGUAAACACAGAGCACAAUACAUCCUUGUAUGACUUGGUUGUGAACACCCUGAAUACCCUACAUGCAUGCUGACACAGAAAGGCAGUAAUGACUUGGUUGUAAACACCAAGAGCACAAUACAUCCAUGCUGACACAGAAAGGCAGUAAUGACUUGGAUGUAAACACCCAGAGCACAAUACAUCCAUGCUGACACAGAAAGGCAGUAAUGACUUGGUUGUAAACACAGAGCACAAUACAUCCUUGUAUGACUUGGUUGUGAACACCCUGAGUACCCUACAUGCAUGCUGACACAGAAAGGCAGUAAUGACUUGGUUGUAAACACCCAGAGCACAAUACAUCCAUGCUAACACAGAAAGGCGGUAAUAACUUGGUUGUAAACACCCAGAGCACAAUACAUCCAUGCUGACACAGAAAGGCAGUAAAGACUUGGUUGUAAACACCCAGAGCACAAUACAUCCAUGCUGACACAAAAAGGCAGUAUAGACUUUGUUGUAAACACUAAGAGAUCCAUACAUCCAUGGGGUGUGCCACAGCCGCAAAUUACGCCCACUAUUGUGAACAAGGUUCUUAAAGUGAACACGUCUGGUUUUGUUAUGAGCACAUAGCACUCCAAGCCCAAAAGGCCUCGCAUUGAAUUGAUGCAAGAGAAGGCUUUGAAAAAUAACAGCAGUUUUGUUGUGUGGUCCAAUACGCCCUUCGACUCUCAACCUGAAGAAAGCAAAACUCAAACUAGUCUCUUAGCAAUAUCAGCAAGGCCAGCAUGUCAUCUCAGCUUCUUGAACUUCAGUGAACUUUACUAGCAAACAUGACAAACGUCAUUGAAAUGAAAGUCGAUGACAACCCCCUUCUUGCACAAAUACUACAACUUGCUUAAGAAAAUCAGCAUGAAGACGUCUUGCGUCAGACUACCAAGCCUCCUAUCAAUAUCUCCUCCCAUAUUGGGUACAUCAAUACUUCCAACAGCAGAGCCUUGGUGAGUUUGACUUCCGUCUCAGCAUCCAUGUCGCUUAGCAACAAUUGAAUGAUGGGCGUCGACAAAUUAAGCCGGACAAGUCGCUCAAACUGAAACGAUCUGAUCCAACAGAGCCGGUUCCUACAGGACCCGAUGCACUGAUUAUGCACAUGUGACUCUUGUACGCAGCUGAAUAAAAGGCUCUCUGGUCAGCUGGACCCGGGCGCCAAGGGACACUUCCUGCCCAAGUACCGUGAGGCAAAUGCUCAAUGAGUUCUACCCGAAGUGUGCAGCGUCUCUAGACCUGUGGCUCCAGACUGUCUUACCCAGGGGCCAAGAUUACUUUAUCUGCAAGAGGCCUUAUACUCACAGGUUCCCCAAAUACAACUCAGCCACAACAUCCUAAUCGGACAACUUGUCAAUCAACAUGGAACAGUACCCUGAAAAUCACGACCAUCUAAAGAACUGUGCAACUGUGCCAAGCGUGACCCUUUAGAGAAAGGGGCUUCCAUGCCGAAGGUCAAAUUGUGGCCGUUGUUCAGUGUCAAGCGGAAUCCUAGCAACCAAGCCCCGUCAGCACAGCAGCAAAAACAGUUUCAGCAGCAGUCGUAUACUAAACAUCAACAACAGUGGUGCAUAUGCAUUAAACUACGAGAGUAAACAAGUUGACUGCGUAAUGUGGCAUCAAAGUCUGCAAGGAGAAACCAUGCAAUUGAGGAAGCCAAGAAACCAUGUGAUAAUUUCAAGCAGCUUACCUACUCUUGAAACCCGGAUAGCAAAGCAUUGAGAUUGUUCUGGAAGCAUUUGUAGUCACAGCUCAUUAAGCAUCCCCCUGAAGCAGGACCCUCAGUCUACGGACGCCAAUUGGCGAAAUAAAACUUGUCAUUCAGCAACACAGCCAGUUGCAGCAGUUGUUACCAUAUUGACCCCAGUCAAAACUAGGAGCUCAGAGACAAUCAGCAACACAGCCAGUAGCAGC